rnacentral:rRNA from 1 species
CAUGAACGCUAGCGGCAGGCUUAAUACAUGCAAGUCGUGGGGCAGCAGGUCUGUAGCAAUACAGAUGCUGGCGACCGGCAAACGGGUGCGUAACACGUACGCAACCUUCCCGUUACUGGGGAAUAGCCCAGGGAAACUUGGAUUAAUACCCCAUAUUAUAUUGGCUAGGCAUCUGACUGAUAUCAAAGCUUCGGCGGUAACGGAUGGGCGUGCGGUUGAUUAGGUAGUUGACGGGGUAACGGCCCACCAAGCCUACGAUCAAUAGCUGAUGUGAGAGCAUGAUCAGCCACACGGGCACUGAGACACGGGCCCGACUCCUACGGGAGGCAGCAGUAAGGAAUAUUGGGCAAUGGACGAAAGUCUGACCCAGCCAUGCCGCGUGAAGGAUGAAGGUCCUCUGGAUUGUAAACUUCUUUUAUCUGGGGCGAAAAUCGGUUAUUCUUAGCCGCUUGACAGUACCAGAUGAAUAAGCACCGGCUAACUCCGUGCCAGCCGCCGCCGUAACAC